AUGGCCAAGUUACUAAGGGCACAUGGUGGAUGCCUUGGCGCCAGCAAGCGAUGAAGGACGUGGUAAGCUGCGAUAAGCCCCGGUGAGGAGCAAACAUCCUUUGACCCGGGGAUUUCCGAAUGGGGCAACCCCACGCGGGUCAUGCCGCGUGAUCGCCGGCUGAAUCAGAUAGGCCGGACGAGGCGAACGGGGGGAACUGAAACAUCUCAGUACCCCCAGGAGAAGAAAGCAACAGCGACUUCCCUAGUAGUGGCGAGCGAACGGGAACAAGCCUAAACCGAUCUGCAUGUUCAAGCCCGCGCGCGUUGUGCAGACGGUGUCGUGGGGCCCGAUUGGACCGGUGUGCGGACCGGUCGGGGAGUGAGCAACCCGAGCUUCAGUCGAACGGCAUGGGAAGGCCGACCAUAGAGGGUGAUAGUCCCUUAGACGAAGGAGCGGAGGCUCCCUGGGUUGGGUACCCAAGUACUGCGGGGCACGUGAAACCCCGUGGGAAUCCGGGAGGACCACCUCCUAAGGCUAAGUAUUCGCUGGCGACCGAUAGCGAACCAGUACCGUGAGGGAAAGGUGAAAAGAACUCCUGGCGGAGAGUGAAAUAGAACCUGAAACCGUGUGCCUACAAGCUGUGGGAGGGUCUGCGCGGGCUUCGGCCCACGCAGAUCUGACCGCGUGCCUUUUGCAUAAUGAUCCGGCGACUUGUUAGAGCGUGGCGAGGUUAAGCGUCUGUGACGCGGAGCCGGAGCGAAAGCGAGUCCGAAAUGGGCGACAAUGAGUCGCGCUCUACAGACCCGAAGCCAGGUGAUCUACGCAUGGCCAGGGCGAAGCGCGUGUAGCAAUGCGUGGAGGCCCGAACUAGUGGUCGUUGAAAAGACUUUGGAUGAGCUGUGCGUAGGGGUGAAAGGCUAAUCAAACCUGGAGAUAGCUGGCUCUCCCCGAAAUAGGUUUUGGCCUAGCCUCGGUUCAUAGAGUGGCGGAGGUAGAGCACUGAUUGGGUUAGGGGGUUCACCGACCUGCCGACCCCAUUCAAACUCCGAAUGCCGUCAUCUCGUUUACCGGGAGUCAGCCUGCGGGUGAUAAGAUCCGCGGACGAGAGGGGAAGAACCCAGACCAGCAGCUAAGGUCCCCAAGUACUGGCUAAGUGAAGUAAGGAUGUGGGAUUGCUCAGACAGCUGGGAUGUUGGCUUAGAAGCAGCCACCAUUUAAAGAGUGCGUAACUGCUCACCAGUCAAG
rnacentral:rRNA from 1 species